GGAAAAUUCACGGAGGUAACCUGGGCUUCAAUUGGUCUGUCAGCUGCUUUGACUGCUUUGGGCAUCUUUGAAUACAACAAGCCAUGUCCUCGUUGGACACUGGGAAAGGACAAUCUAUCUGCACAUCCAGCCCUAUGGGCUGGAGUCUCCCAAACGAGGCCAUCGUUUGUUUUGGCAACUCUGCUCCACCACAACAUUCAUCAGACUCCUGAGAAAGACGACCGAUGAAGGGAUCCAUAAAUGGUAAGACCAUCUCGCACUUAGCUGUGUUUGGUAAAAGGGAGAUAUUAGGAAACUGGGCCUUUAAGGUUUUGCUUGCACCCUGUUUGUGGAAUGGUACGUGUGUCUAUGUAUGUUGUAAAUGUGAGAUAGUUUCUCUACCUCCGGGUGGUGGUUGUGAAAAUUAAUUUGUAAAAGUGCUCUACUUAGCUGGUUUGAAGGCAAGUGCUUGUAAGAACUGGGUGUUCUAGGGGCGCCUGGGUGGCUCGCUCGGUUAAGCGUCUGACUUCAGCCCAGGUCAUGAUCUUGUGGUCUGUGGGUUCGAGCCCCACGUAGGGCUCUGUGCUGAGGGCUCAGAGACUGGAGCCUGCUUGAGAUUCUGUGUCUCCCUCUCUCUCUAAUCCUCCCCCAUUCACGCUCUGUCUCUGUCUGUCUCUCUCUCUCUCUCAAAAGUAAAUAAACAUUAAAAAAAUUAAAAGAAAAAAAAGAACUGGGCGUUCUAAAACUCAGAAAGAUAGAAACUAACCCCAGGUGUCUUUCAAGUUCAAGUGAUCUUGGAAGAUAUUUGGUUCGAAAGCUAAUGUAACGAUGUUUGUUUAGUUAAAAUGGACAUAAGUCUUUAGAAUUGCCAACAUUAAAUGUGAUAGUUUCACUCUGCUUGUGUUUACUGUAAGUCAAACCAGCUGUUGGCGUUGUGACUGUCACAAAAUGUGAUGGAAAAGAGAAAGACGUUAGAGCCCUGUCCAAUGGCUUCUGAAGCUUUACGGGCAAGCGAAGGACAGACAGACAGAUGUAAAUAAUUUUAACAAAUGUAAUUAAGGCUACUUGACCAAAUAAGGGAAAAAAUUCUGUAUUUAGUGAAAGUGAGACUGGUUAUUCAAAGAGGGAAAACUUGGGGUACCUGGGUGGCUCAGUCUGUUGAGCAUCCCGCUCCUGACCUCUGCGCAAGUCAUAAUCCCAGAGUUGUGGGAUUGAGCCCCGUGUCAGGCUCCAAGUGGAGCCUGCUUGAGAUUCUCUCUGUGUGUGUCUCUCUGUGUCUCUCUCUCCCCCCCUCCCCCGCUUGUGCUCUCUCUCUCUCUCAAACAAAAUUUAAAAAAAAAACAAAGAGGGGAAAACGUAGGACAAAAUCUGAAGGAAUGCGAAAGGGAAAAUUGCAGAAGGUUUGCGAGAAGGGAAUCUUUCGAAAGAAAUGCUAUGCAUGGUCGGGGCCGAGAUUCUGGAGUUUCGCAUGUAAGAAACAAGUUUAUGAGGGCAGCGAUCGACCCCCGGGGAAGAGAAGGGGGAGGCAGAGAACGAUGUCAGGCAGAAGUUGAGCAGUGACACUUCAACGGAAGCCUUAGCCGACUCUCUGAGCCGUCCCGAAAGUUGGACUGCCCUUCGGAAGCAUCCAAACUUAGGUGGAAGGGGCUGGCUCUUCGUAAGCGUCUUUGGAUGUGACCACCUGGGCAGCGGGCAAUGCCCUUGGCAAGGCCGCUGCCUACAGUCACGGCGAUCCCUGAUGAUGUCUGAGCGUCGAAGGCUGUAGGCAGCAUUGCUAUGGCUGGGAGACCUGGGUUCCUGCCGGACAUUCUGGUCAGCGCAUCCCAACACCCGCCACAAGAACUCAGACCCAUGCAGUGCCCUGGAUGUCCUUGUCCAAAUAAGUAUGUAUCAACGUGGGAGGUGACACGGAGGAAGAAAGAAGGGACUGCAUAUCUUUUUAAAAAUUCAUCUUGUUGCAACGAAUGAGUUUUAAUAUCAAAGUACAGCGGUAUAAGACUGGAAUUUGGGUUUUCUCGCUGUUCAUGUGACAGAGGCUUCUUAGAUGAUGGGUCUAAAUUAUCAACAGAGGUUUUUCUUUAUCUUUAAGCUGCCUAGAAAAACAAAGUUUCUAUGUCUUGUCUCUGUUAGGUCUUUGCUUCCUUAAGAAAGUUGAAUCUGCUCAGUGUUAAGAGAGCUAAGGUUUGCUCACAGCUCCAUUUACCUUGCUGUCUGCAUUUACCUUGAGAAUCUCUUCUUGCCAUCCCGGCUAAAUAAGUAUCCUGUUUUGUAGUGAUCUGUAAUCCUAUUUAGGCACGUGUUUUGAAACCUUCUGGUAUUUCACCAACUUCCAAAAACCCAGCUUGUGAAUGGAAGUCUUUUUGACGAAUUAGGCUUAUUCCCUGGUGUGUCAAAUGACAUGGGAGGCAUCAUCAAAUAAGCGAUGAGGAACCUUCUUAGGCUUUGUUGUAUGGGUGAUUGCUCUAAGUGUCCUAGAGAUUUUAUAAGAUUCCUAAGGGUUUGAUAUGUCCUGGUAUAGCGUCAUCGCUUGUAAUACUAACUACUGAAGUAGCGUGUGUCACAGAAUCUCCUUGCCAGCUGCACUGCAUUGACAAAUACAGCUCUCUGAUCCCUUCAGGAUCAUAAAGCUAAGCUUAGUAAGAAGUCCCAGAACUAAUGGGGAAACUGCUUUCAAACAGACCCUUGUGUAAACAUUGCUGGUCCUCUAAUGUUUGCUCUUCUAAAUUUAAGUCUGCCUAUGACAUUUGGCAGACGUUGGGUAAAUAAUUUCUUCAUACACAGAUAGGAAACAUUUAUCCCUUUCUCCCUACGUGGUAUCACCAGAAUUCAAAACUCUCAGGGAGUAUUCUCGUAUUUUCACGGCAGUGUAUUUAUUUGCAGAAGUUCGAUACGAAUCCGUUCUCCUUGCAACAGGACGCCACUGGAAACAUUGGUCAUGUUGCCAAGGCUUUGACUGGAAUGUCAUAGUUGAGGGAGAUAUGCCUAGACUCAGCUACAAUCAGAGAGCUUUAAGGAGCUAAUUACGGUUGACUUUGCCGAGCCAAUGAAGCCCCUUGGAAAACUGGCCUCGUACCUUGCUUACAAAGUUUCCAGCAGCCCUACCAGGUGAAUAAGGAAGGUCGUCACUUCCUGGCAGGUGCAGGAACCUCAGGGUAUUUGGGGGAUCUCGAGAAGAGAGGGAGCCACCCACACCUAUAGGUAUGGCAGGCAAAGGCUGAUGGCCAGUAUUUGGCUUGGCUUCUUUAGCCUGACAAGGCUGUUAAAAGUUCAAUCUGACAUUCCUUACGAAAAGUUCCAGCGAAGCAGAUUGAAAAACCCAACACCUAUAUGACCAAUCACCGUUGUGAUGGCGCUUGUGUAAACAGGCCCAGCUUCAACUGGACAAUUUCACAAACAAACGUGUCCUAAUCUGGCUCUCUUUGGUGGAGAUGAGGGUGGUUUCAGAGAGAGAGAUUGUUCCAGUAACACACCUGUGAAAAUGUAAGAUCAUGGUUCUGAUGAGCCGUCUGGGAGGCUUCGUUGGUUGUCUAUACACCUGGGCUGGGUCCUGACUUCUUCUGGUUUCCUUGAAUAUCUGACCCUGACUCUCCAAACUAAGGUUUCCAGUUUUCUCCCACCGUGUGGACUGGAAGCCCUGAGAACGAACACUGCUUUUCCCUGAAGCCCCGCAAACCGAAGCCAGGCCAGCCGAGGUACACGUGAGAGAAAAGUGGCCCGGUGACCUAAGGGCCACUCAGAAAGAUCACCAGAGACACACGGAGAGCUGAACAAGCUGAUCGCAGCCAUCCCGACUGGACAAGCUGCCAUCGGAGCAUCCAGACGUGGACGUGUUCACGGAUGGGGACCGUGUCACGGGUCAAAGACAAGGAAGAGCUGGGUGCAGUGGUGACCCAUCAGCUACCGUCCGCUGCGGAAGACGCCACAAAGUGGACCGACUGCCCAAGGGAACCAUGCUGGCAGCCCGUCAAAGACUCCAAGACCCUCUGGAAGAGCUCUCGUGCCAAAGAUAGACUUAACUACAUAUCAACCCCAACGUCCCUUGGAGGACCAAAGAGGAGUUAAGUAAGGAGUGGGGGUUUGGACACCGUGCUGGCCUUGACACCGGCUGGAAAUAGAAGGAAUCCUUACCCUAGAGCAUCUGAUGAAAGAAAUAAUUAGCCACAUUCCUCGAAGCACCCGUUAUGGGAAAGAUGCCCCUCUCCAGUGGAUCCAGAAGUAUACUGCGGGCUCCGAUUUCAGCGAAAUGCUACAAAAGGCAACGCUUGUGCUAAAAACAAUCCUAAGACUGGGUGCCCACAAGUUCUCAAGGGUAUACAACUGAGACGCCCCAAACCUGGGGAAGACCGGCACGCAGCCUUUCCCAGAAUGCAAAGAACAAUGGGAAAUUCUCGGGGUUUGCUUGUAUCUGCAGACACCUUUAUCAACGGGGUUGAGGUUCCUCCCUGCUGUUCAGAGAAGGCCUCGGGAGUGGUCAAAAUGCUUUGAAGCGAGAUCAUUUCUAGGUUUGGACUGCCGCUAAUAAUUCAGAGUGACAAUGGAGUGACAACCACAGCGUCCAAGGCCUUGGGCAUUCAGUGGAAAUCACACGCUUCCUGGAGACACCGAGAGAGUGGAAAAAGGGAAAAAAAUGAACUUUGGCAAAGCUCUGCCAAGAAACCCACUUCACUUGGGAACAACCCGUGCCAUCUGCCCUGCUUUGGGAAAGAGUGGUCCCUAGAAGAGGGCUUGGUUUAAGCCCCUGUGGAAUGUUAUAUGCAAGACUUUCUAUGUUCUUUUCGUGACCUAGGAGGUGCUGGCGGGGCUCCCACCAGCGAUUUGGAUACUAUCAGGUACAUCCAGGGCCUGAGUUUGCUUCCGGCAGGCUGAUGUACCUCACAGAUGUGUCUUCACGCUGCCUGAAUCCCUUGGUGACAUCCAAAGGUGUCACUAAAGAUGUCACUAAAGACCUGAAGAGCGGGAGCCCAGAGGACCAGCUCCAGCCUCACUGGACAGCAGGAAGUAACGGCCGCGGCCGGGUCGUGGUCCCAAUACCCACAAGAAUGAGGACGGAUCAAAAGACCCUGGGGACUGAAAAGGGUAACCAAAGGGCUAGCAGCCGCAACUCUGUACCCUGACCUUUUUCCUUCGCCACUAAGUACCCCUGACUCUCCUCCUCUAGGGAGGUGGAUGUGAGGCUCGCCCUCCUGCCUCUGGAAUAAACUCUUGCUUUGCUUUA